rnacentral:lncRNA from 1 species
UUGUCUUUGGUCUUCAGUCUUCUAUUUUAUAGCUAUCAGUUGAUUCAAAUUCUUUUCUCUAUAAGGAAAACUCAAGGGAUUUCUUCUUAAUCAAGGAUUUGAAUUAAUUCCUUGAUUGAGGAAUUACACCAUAUGGUACGUCCAUUUCAGAUAUGUCCUUACGUGUGAUGCAAUCUUCUUUUCUUGAACAUAGGCUCACAACCAUACAUGUCUUUAUCAGAUAUGUACAUGUAGAAGGUGUGAUCUUCCUUCAUUUUGCCCUUCCGUGUGAGAUGUUAUUUUGAUUGAUUAUCAAUUACCUUCCUUGUACUUUGGGAUCUAAUGAGAUCCUUGAUUGAUGUGAUUUCAAAUUUGGCGCCUGCUCUUUGUAGACAGGGAUCGACUUUCUUGUAAGUGUGGAUCAGCCGAGAUACUCCUCCAUAUAUGGCUCCUGGAAGAUCUUCCAUGAUAUGAUUGUAUCUUCAGUGUAUCCUGCAUAUAUUUAUUUAUUAGUUUGUCGUUAUUAAAAUAAAUUAUGUAAAUAUGGAGCUAACAAUCUCCCUCUUUUUGAUAAUGACAAAUAAUAAACAUCAGUUGAUUUCCCUGUUCUUGUAGUCAACUUGCCCCCCCCCCCCCCCUUUACUGACUCCUUACCUUUGUUGUCAUUGACUUUUGAGUUCAUGUAGU